UUAAAAUUUUUUUUCAUUAGCAGCUUUAUCAGAAUGUAUAAAUUAAAUGUUAUUAUAAAUUCUCCAGAUUUUUGACCUAGUCUGAGAAAGUGUGCUUCUCUCUUAUUUGGGCCUUGGUCUUUUGAAUUGAACAUUCCCAGCCGAACAGUUUCUUUAACUACUGUGUCCUACUAAUAGAAAGGGAUUUGCCACAAUCUCUUACUCCAUCCUUUCCUGAUUCCCUGACCUUCUUUCUUCUUUCUUUAGUAUCAUCUAAAGAUGAUAGUUAGUUAAUUAUCCUGGUUAACAGGAAAAAGUAGUUCAUUAGGUAUAGGCAUAGGGAAAAACUGAAAAGUGAACUUUCACAGAAGGAUUAAAUUAGUAGCCUUAACUUCUGUGCAAUCCUAGUAAUUGAUGUGUUUUAAUGUCUUCACACUCUGUUUGGAUUUUUAAUUUGGUUAGCUAUUUUUUGAGCCAUUAAGUGAGUCUGGAAGAAUCUGUGCAGAAUGGAAAACAUUUUUUCAAAAACAUAAUUUUUGUAUGUAUAUAUUUGUGUACUUGAGUGUUUGUAUGUAUAUCAUGUGCAUGCUGGGGCCCUUUAAGGUCAGAAGAUGGCAUUGGAUCCCUAGGAAUUCAAGUUAAUGGUUGUGAGGUGUUAUGUAAGUGCUGGAAACUAAACUGGACCCCUCUGCAAGAGUAGCAUGUGCUCUUAGCUGCUGAGCCAUAGUCAUGUUUUACAGUGGACAUAGAGACAGAUGUGCCUCCUGCUUAAAUGAUGAUGACCUAAACAUCUUAAACAUACUUAAGGUUAAUGUUUUUAUUGCCAAAACAUUUACCAGUUUAUAAAGAAAUAAAAAGUGGCUACUAAUUUUACUAGUUUUGAGAUACUUUUGUUAGAGCUACCAAGUUAAAUCUCAUAUAAACACAUAAGUAUGCUAUAGUAUCUUUUUUAUUUAGAGAGAAACAGUUACUUUUUAAUUCCUUGGGUAGUAAUUAGCUGUCUUAACAAUCAGUGUAGGAAAAGUAAUUAUGAUGUUAGUGAAUUUUAAAGUUUGUUAUAGUGACAAACAUUGUAGGAUUUAGAUUCUCUUGAAAUCAUCUUAACUAAGGUAUUUCAUUUCAGGGGCCAGGAGGAUGGCUCAAUGAUUAAGAGCACUGGCUGCUCUUCCAGAGGUCCUGAGUUCAAUUUCCAGCACCCACAUGGCAGCUCACAACUGUCUGUAACUCCAGUUCCUAGGGAUCUAACACCCUCACAGAUAAACAUGCAGACAAAACACCAAUGCAUAUGAAAUAAGUCAUUAAAUAAUAAGUCAUUAAAAAACAUCAACAACAAAGUUUUCAUCAUUCAUUCAUUCAUUCAUUCAUUCAUGUGCAUGUGUGCUGGAGUCUGCUAAGGUGUAUGUGUGUGCUGAUUAGAGAACAGCUGAGGGGAGCGAGUGACUUCUCCCCUUCUACCAUGUGGAUUCCAGCAAUUGGACUGAAGUUGUCAGACUUAGUAGCAAGUGCCUUUACCUGCUAAACCAUUUUUGUUAUUCUGAAAUGAUGUUAGUUUUUAAACCUGUUUCCAAGUCAUUCUUUUAACUAUCGUUGUUUCCAUCUUCUUUCCUGUUUCCUCUUCUUCCUCAUCAUCAUUAAGUUUUAUAUUGGAAUGGGACCCAGGGCCUAUCACCCUCUAACAGUGCUAGAUCCUUAGGUCUUCUGCUUCUGACUUUGUGUUUGUUGUUAACAACAUUAAAGUUUACAACUUUUAUUUUUUGAAAUAAAUCAUUAAUGAUUUUGUUUUCAAGAAGUUUUAGAUCCAUUUAUUUUAUAUGUAUGAAUAUUUUAGCUGCAUGUAUGUAUAUAUGUGGUAUGUGCAUGCCUGGUGCCUGGAUAGUUCAGAAGUGGUCAUUGGAUUUCUUGGAACUGGAAGUAAAAUGCUUGUUAGACAGAUACCAUGUGGCUGCUGGGAACCAGAGCCUAUUUCUUUGCAAGAGUAACUAGUGUUCUUAACUGAGUCUACUAGUUAUAAUUAUUUGGCAUUUUACUGAAUGAUAACUCUUAGUUGUCUGUAAAAGAACCAUCAAAAUAAAUACCCAAUGAUGUGCUAUCCUGGUGUCACUAUAAUUUCUACAAAGGCUGAAGUAUGAAAAGAGAGACAUUCUGUAGUAUCUUAUAGAAUGUUGAGGACUUUGGAGUAACAACCUGUAAUCACACAACCUUAACCUUCUUAAGCAAAACAUGAUCUGAUUUUUGUUCAUAGUAUGAUUGAUACCUGUCUUUCUGUUAGUUACAUUUGAACCUUGGCUCUUUGUGAAACUGGAGACUGUUUCUUAAUGUUAGGUUACAUUUAAGAAUACUUGAGUCUAUGUGACAAUGAGAAUUGAGUAACUGAAAAGUUAGACGUUAACUCCUUCUAAGUAGUUAUUAGACACAUGUACUUAUUUUGUCAUCUACUGAAUACAUCUUUAAACCCAGGACAAAAUGAAUGAAACAGCUAUUUGAGGACUCUACAGAAUAAAUAAAUACCAGGUAGAUUGAGAAGACUAGAAUUCAAAGUACCAUCUGACUGGUAUGUGAACAUUUUUUUUUUCUUACAGUAUCCUUGCACAUGGACUUAAGCACCAUCUGAAACCUAGACAGAAAACAUUGAAAGAAGUCUGCUAGGUGUGAUCAAAAAGCUGUAGAGAUAACUUCUAAGUUGAGAGCCCUGACCUGGUGCCCCUUUCUCUCAUGGCAUUGUCAUCAGAAGCUACAAUGGUAGCCUGAAGCCAGGACUGUGAGGGAUGGGAAGAAGUUUUUCUCUGCAGGUGACAGUCAUUCUCCCCCCUCACAUUUCCCCUCUUCUACUUGAUCAAGGCAGAUACUGUGUCAUAUGUGACCAGUUAGGGAAUGAAAGCACCAGCAUUCUGUUUGGAGAAGUGAGAAGAGACUAGUUCAGAAAUUAGGCACUACUGAGGGCACAUGUAAGCAGUGCUGUCACCUCACUGGAUUUCAUCAUGAUGCAAACAGUAAACAUGGACGUUAUAGCGGGUGUUGUACACGGUUCUGACAGACAGUUUUGGAUGUUCUAGAAUUGAAUGGAAAGGUCUGAGUAGAGAAAUAGAUGAGGGAAGGUAUGGAGAUAUUAGAAAUGAAAAGCACUAAGAGAAUAACUCACUAGCAGAAUGUGAAGAACUUGAAGUAAGUCAGUAGAAAAAUUUCUAUCUGAACAGUAGAGAAUACAUGUUAAAAUUGAACAGUUUUGAGGAAUUAUGGGACUAUAAAAUAUUGGAUAUUUUGAAAACAAUUGCAUAGUGAGAAAGUACUUGUAGAAUUAGGGAGCUUACAACCUCACAAAUUUAGAGAAAAACAUAAAGAUACAAAUUUAGAGAAUCCAAAGUAGAACAACUCUGAAGAAAUCCAGGCCAUAUCUUCAUAUAUCUGGAAGUAACACAGAAGGAAAAUCAGGAAGUUGGAAACAGCCAGAGAAAAUUGAUACCCUCUUUCCCUAAUUACCUUGACUUUCACAUCAGAACCCAUGGAAAUGAGAAGAAAGAAGCUAAAGAAGUGUUUAGAAUACUCAAAGACAAGCACUAUGUACAAUCAGAGAAGUGAUUUUUAGAUAUGAACAAGUGUGAUGAUUUUUAGAAGGUGAUGUAAUGAUCCAAGUGAAGAACAGUAUUCAUUGGUCAGCAGACCUGCUCUAAAAGAGAACUAAGUGUGUUCUUAAGCCAGAAGGGAAAAUGAUAUUCAAAGGAGAUUUGGAUGUUAGGAGUGAGUGAAGAGGAACACAGUCAUAGAUCAUUUUUUUUCAUGAGCUCUUUAAAAUAUAUUUAGCAGUAGUAAACAAAAAUGUGAAUGGAUGCAUUAUUCUAUGUAACAUUUAAAGACCAUUUGUGAAAAGUUAAUCAUAGAGCCACUAUUAAAAAAACCUAAAAGGUGUUAGGGCAACAAUAUAUAAAUAAAGAUGAAAUGCUCAACCUGGAAGAAGGCAAGGUAGGGAAAACAAGC
rnacentral:lncRNA from 1 species